rnacentral:rRNA from 1 species
UACGAAGGGGGCUAGCGUUGUUCGGAAUUACUGGGCGUAAAGCGUGCGCAGGCGGCUUCUCAAGUCAGGGGUGAAAGCCCAGAGCUCAACUCUGGAAUUGCCUUUGAGACUGAGAGGCUUGAGUACGGGAGAGGUGAGUGGAACUGCGAGUGUAGAGGUGAAAUUCGUAGAUAUUCGCAAGAACACCAGUGGCGAAGGCGGCUCACUGGCCCGGUACUGACGCUGAGGUGCGAAAGCGUGGGGAGCAAACAGG